rnacentral:rRNA from 1 species
UGGGGGAUAUUGCACAAUGGGCGAAAGCCUGAUGCAGCGACGCCGCGUGGGGGAUGAAGGCUUUCGGGUUGUAAACCUCUUUCGCUAUCGAACAAGGCCCGCUUAGGGUGGGUUGAGGGUAGGUGGAGAAGAAGCGCCGGCUAACUACGUGCCAGCAGCCGCGGUAAUACGUAGGGCGCGAGCGUUGUCCGGAAUUAUUGGGCGUAAAGGGCUUGUAGGCGGCUUGUUGCGCCUGCUGUGAAAACGCGGGGCUUAACUUCGGGCGCGCAGUGGGUACGGGCAGGCUUGAGUGUGGUAGGGGUGACUGGAAUUCCAGGUGUAGCGGUGGAAUGCGCAGAUAUCUGGAGGAACACCGAUGGCGAAGGCAGGUCACUGGGCCAUUACUGACGCUGAGGAGCGAAAGCAUGGGUAGCGAACAGG